rnacentral:rRNA from 1 species
UACGAGGGGGGCGAGCGUUGUUCGGAAUUAUUGGGCGUAAAGGGUGCGUAGGCGGUUUGUAAGUCUUAUGUGAAAUCUAUGGGCUCAACUCAUAGACUGCAUGAGAAACUGCAGGGCUUGAGUAUGGGAGAGGUGAGUGGAAUUCCUGGUGGAGCGGUGAAAUGCGUUGAUAUCCACAGGAACUCCGGUGGCGAAGGCGGCACGCUGGACCCGAUCUGACGCUGAGGCGCGAAAGCCAGGGGAGCAAACGAG